rnacentral:rRNA from 1 species
GGUUACUGCUAUCGGUGUUCGCCUAAGCCAUGCGAGUCAUAUGUUCGUAAGAACAUGGCGUACUGCUCAGUAACACGUGGAUAACCUGCCCUUGGGUCCGGCAUAACCCCGGGAAACUGGGGAUAAUUCCGGAUAACGCACAUAUGCUGGAAUGCUUUUUGCGUAAAAUGGAUUCGUCUGCCCAAGGAUGGGUCUGCGGCCUAUCAGGUAGUAGUGGGUGUAAUGUACCUACUAACCUACGACGGGUACGGGUUGUGAGAGCAAGAGCCCGGAGAUGGAUUCUGAGACAUGAAUCCAGGCCCUACGGGGCGCAGCAGGCGCGAAAACUUUACAAUGCGGGAAACCGUGAUAAGGGGACACCGAGUGCCAGCAUCCUAUGCUGGCUGUCCGGGUGUGUAAAAUACACCUGUUAGCAAGGGCCGGGCAAGACCGGUGCCAGCCGCCGCGGUAACACCGGCGGCCCGAGUGGUGAUCGUGAUUAUUGGGUCUAAAGGGUCCGUAGCCGGUUUGGUCAGUCCUCCGGGAAAUCUGAC